GAUGAACGCUGGCGGCGUGCCUAAUACAUGCAAGUCGAGCGAACAGACGAGGAGCUUGCUCCUCUGACGUUAGCGGCGGACGGGUGAGUAACACGUGGAUAACCUACCUAUAAGACUGGGAUAACUUCGGGAAACCGGGGCUAAUACCGGAUAACAUGUUGAACCGCAUGGUUCAACAGUGAAAGACGGUCUUGCUGUCACUUAUAGAUGGAUCCGCGCCGCAUUAGCUAGUUGGUAAGGUAACGGCUUACCAAGGCAACGAUGCGUAGCCGACCUGAGAGGGUGAUCGGCCACACUGGAACUGAGACACGGUCCAGACUCCUACGGGAGGCAGCAGUAGGGAAUCUUCCGCAAUGGGCGAAAGCCUGACGGAGCAACGCCGCGUGAGUGAAGAAGGUCUUCGGAUCGUAAAACUCUGUUAUUAGGGAAGAACAAAUGUGUAAGUAACUAUGCACGUCUUGACGGUACCUAAUCAGAAAGCCACGGCUAACUACGUG
rnacentral:rRNA from 1 species